rnacentral:rRNA from 1 species
GACGAACGCUGGCGGCGUGCUUAACACAUGCAAGUCGAGCGAGGCCCUUCCUUCGGGAAGGUGCCCUAGCGGCGAACGGGUGAGUAACACGUGGGCAACCUGCCCUCAGCUCUGGGAUAACCCCGGGGAAACCGGGGCUAAUACCGGUAUACGACCACAGUGGGCAUCCGCUUGUGGUGGAAAGNUUUAUCGGCUGAGGAU